ensembl:snRNA U6 U6 spliceosomal RNA
GUACUCACUUUGGCAGCACAUAUAUUAAAACUGGAAAGAUGCAGAGAAGAUUAGCACGGCCCUUGCACAAGGGUGACAUGCAAAUUCAUGAAGCAUUCCAUAUUUUA